CCAACGGCCCUGUUCAGGGCCACUUUCAACACCACAUUACAGAUUGU
rfam:Echinococcus multilocularis genomic scaffold, pathogen_EmW_scaffold_10